GCAGAACGCGAAGAACCUUACCUACGCUUGACAUACCGGUUGGGAGGGGCAGAGAUGUCUCUCUUCAUUUAGUUGGACCGGAUACAGGUGCUGCAUGGCUGUCGUCAGCUCGUGUCGUGAGAUGUUGGGUUAAGUCCCGCAACGAGCGCAACCCUUAUCGUAUGUUGCCAGCAUUAAGUUGGGCACUCGUGCGAGACCGCCGGUGACAAGCCGGAGGAAGGUGGGGACGACGUCAAGUCAUCAUGGCCCUUACGCGUAGGGCUACAAACGUACUACAAUGGCGGUGACAGUGGGCAGCGCGAUCGCGAGAUCAAGCCAAUCCCCAAAAGCCGUCUCAGUUCAGAUUGUACUCUGCAACUCGAGUGCAUGAAGCUGGAAUCGCUAGUAAUCGUGGAUCAGCAUGCCACGGUGAAUACGUUCCCGGGUCUUGUACACACCG
rnacentral:rRNA from 1 species